CCCCCACACCCCUAAACCUCUCGCGCUCGCUAAGGGUUUUCGGUACCCCCUUCCCCCACCCGCGCCUCCUCCCGCGACUCCUCCUCGCCCAUGGCCUCCGGAGCCCUAGAGGCCGCGGAGCCCCAAGGGGCGGCGGCUCCUCCCCCCGUCGAGGGCAAGGAGGAGCUCCCCGAGAAAUUAGAGGCGGAGGAGGCGGAGCAAGAGGACCGAGAGAUCGCCGCUCCGGAGGAGGAGGGCGAGGCUUCCGACGAGGAGGCUCUGCUGGUCGCCGCCGAGGCCCCGCCCGCUCGUCGCCUCCGAGAGGCCAUGCCCGUGAUGUCCAUAUCCUGAGUUGUGGGUUCCUGCUCAUCUUCUCGGCCUACGGUGCUGCUCAGAAUCUCGAGAGCACCGUGAACACCGUGAGUUUUCCGAGUCGAUUUCGUUGGAAUUUUGGGUAAAUUGAGAGAAGAAAUCGACGGUCGUGAGAUGAAAACCCAGAGGCAGAUUUUGCACUUCUGGGCGGAUAAUUUGGGCACGACAGGCAACGCAAGUAAAGAAGAAAGGCAGACAGGCAACGCAACAAAGAGAUAUGGAAUCUACAGUAGAGAACAUUAGUGAUUUGGAGGAUGAUCAAAGCCAUCGUGUGGGGAAGUCGCUUUUACACUCAGUGAAGUGGGAGCGCAUUAUUUUGGAUGAGGCUCACUUUGUCAAAGAUAGGCGAUGUAAUACUGCAAAAGCAGUUCUCGGACUGGAGUCUUCAUACAGAUGGGCUUUAAGUGGAACACCUCUUCAAAAUCGUGUUGGGGAGCUCUACUCUCUUUUCCUCAAAACAAUGUCCUGAAUGCUCUCACGGUUCUGUACGGCACUUUUGUUGGUGGAAUCGAUAUAUAGCGAAUCCUAUACAAGCACAUGGAAAUGCCGUUGGCAGAAGGCGAGCAAUGAUAUUACUAAAACACAAUUUUGAAAAACAUUUUGCUGAGACGCACAAAAAAGGGAAGAGCUGCUGAUCUUGCACUUCCACCUAGAAUUGUUACUUUGAGGCGGGAUACACUGGACAUUAGAGAAGAGGAUUAUUGCACAUCAUUGUACAAUGAGAGCCAAUCUAACCUUGUGCGGUGUGCAUAUUGAUUGGUAUUUCACUAUCUUCUCUGGGCUUGUGGGACUUUGAGUAUCGCAUUGUAUGUCAACAAGUGAAUGUCACUUCUUUGGAGGAGGUGAUGAAGCACUUCAUGCAAACCUUAUAGGAGAAAGCAGAGUGGGCGCAAGAUUGGAAGUAUCUUUUCAUACAUAUCGGGGAUAAGCUUUGCUUCAGCAUCUUCAGUGCCAGAAGUGCAGUUGGCCCAAUAUGUUCCUGCCCUGGAAAGAAUUGCCACACUGAGAUUGCUUAAGCAAGUGCUUUAAAGUGCUCAAGAUUAUUUAUUCUCUCAUUAUGUGUACUAUAAAGAAAAAUAUAUAUGUCAUUCUUGUGGAAAAUGCAGAUGAAUGUAUUUCAUUUUUAUAUUAUUAUAAUAUUUUGAUGUUAUUAAGUGCUUAA